ACCUUAUAGUAUGUUGACUUGGCAUCAAGACAACAUUAAAGAUUACGGUAAGAGAUGACUAUGCGUCCUAUUAGCUAGAUGGUGUGGUAACGGCACACCAUGGCGACGAUAGGUAGGGGCCCUGAGAGGGGGAUCCCCCACACUGGUACUGAGACACGGACCAGACUCCUACGGGAGGCAGCAGUGAGGAAUAUUGGACAAUGGAGGCAACUCUGAUCCAGCCAUGCCGCGUGCAGGAAGACUGCCCUAUGGGUUGUAAACUGCUUUUGUACAGGAAGAAACACUGCUACGUGUAGCAGCUUGACGGUACUGUAAGAAUAAGGAUCGGCUAACUCCGUGCCAGCAGCCGCGGUAAUACGGAGGAUCCAAGCGUUAUCCGGAAUCAUUGGGUUUAAAGGGUCCGUAGGUGGAUAAUUAAGUCAGAGGUGAAAUCCUGCAGCUCAACUGUAGAAUUGCCUUUGAUACUGGUUAUCUUGAGUUAUUAUGAAGUAGUUAGAAUAUGUAGUGUAGCGGUGAAAUGCAUAGAUAUUACAUAGAAUACCCAAUUGCGAAGGCAGAUUACUAAUAAUAUACUGACACUGAUGGACGAAAGCGUGGGGAGCGAACAGGAUUAGAUACCCUGGUAGUCCACGCCGUAAACGAUGGUCACUAGCUGUUCGGACUUCGGUUUGAGUGGCUAAGCGAAAGUGAUAAGUGACC
rnacentral:rRNA from 1 species